CUAAAACGACUCUCGGCAACGGAUAUCUCGGCUCACGCAUCGAUGAAGAACGUAGCAAAAUGCGAUACUUGGUGUGAAUUGCAGAAUCCCGUGAACCAUCGAGUUUUUGAACGCAAGUUGCGCCCGAAGCCAUCCGGUUGAGGGCACGUCUGCCUGGGCGUCACGCAUCAC
rnacentral:rRNA from 1 species